GACAGAGGAUGCAAGCGUUAUCCGGAAUGAUUGGGCGUAAAGAGCUCGUAGGCGGCUCGGUAAGUCGGGUGUGAAAACUCUAGGCUCAACCUAGAGACGCCACCCGAUACUGCUGUGGCUAGAGUCCGGUAGGGGAGCAUGGAAUUCCUGGUGUAGCGGUGAAAUGCGCAGAUAUCAGGAGGAACACCGAUUGCGAAGGCAGCUCGCUGGAACGUUACUGACGCUGGAGAACGCGAAAGCCGUGGGGAGCAAACAGG
rnacentral:rRNA from 1 species